UUUAUACCUUUUAUGGGAAUAAGAAUUUCAUAUAAUUACAAAAUAUCUAUACACUGCAUGUCAUGAAUAUAAACUAACGUAUUCGUUUUCUUGCGAAAUAAUAGCUUAGGCAAAACAACUAAGUUUUCCAAUACCAAAAUAUGUUUUCUGAGUUAUCUUUCUUGACAUAGCAAUUUUUUAACAUCUGGAGUAGAACGUGAAAAAGAUGUUCAAAAAGAUUAAAUCAUAUUUUUAAAUUCAA
rnacentral:lncRNA from 1 species